UGGGCCUUACAAAAUUUCUACUGAAUCAUUUAAGUUAAAGUCCACAAUAUCGACCUACCAGUUUCCUAUCUCCUUCGUUGCUUCAAUCUCUUUCAUCCGUAACACUGAAGAUUUCCGUUUACGUUUCACCUUCAUUCACUCCUCCUCAUUCAAUUCCAUCCUUCAAUCCUAUCUUCAUGAGAGAACCAAUAUCCUCCUUUCACCUCCCUUUGUUUCUCCUGUUAUAUAAACCUCCUCCUCCUCGAAUCUCACUUCGAUCCACUUUCUAUGACCUCAUUCAUCUAAUGGUGCUCCACGAUAUGAGCCUCAACUCAAACCAGGCAGUAGUUGGGAAGCUCUCAGAAAAUGGUGAAACCAGUUUCAGAGUCCACAUAUCAGAUUUCUCAUAGACUGUAAAACCAGUUCUAUGUUAAUAUGGUCUCCGCUUCUUUUGUUCAAUCGGCACACUCACCCAUGUUUAUGAUUUUUAGCAAGAUUCAACGAACCCGUAAACGACAGUGAUUUGCUGUAAAAGUUAAAGAUUAUGCCCGUGUGGGAGAGUCGGCCAGGCGAAGAGAUGUUCGAACUGCCAAAGCAACAUGAAAAGUGUAGUAUUCACUACACCAAAGUGGUUGUAUAUUCUAGGUGGUAAUAGGUACAGAAGAUGGUGGCCAAAGAAAAAAGAAUCUACAUAUUUUACUUGAGUACGUAACUAGGAGAAGCUUUCAUAUGGGUAUGGGAGUUUGAAUUGAUCAGUCAAAGUAUACGUGGUCAUAUACGGUGGUGUUAUAUAGUGAUAUAUCAUCCUUCCUUCCAAGAGCUUUAGUGGCUGAAACAGAGUGGGGUUACAUACCUAUGGUGUCCAUAAGAUGACAAUUGGAUAGGAAACUUGGGACAUGUAAUGGUCUUUGAGAUAUUCAAGAAUAAAAAGCAUAAAUGCAUUAAUCAAUUUACAAAGUUGUGAUAUGAAUGUGUGAUUGAUUUAGUAGUUUUUUUGGCACUUCGA